rnacentral:rRNA from 1 species
UACGUAGGGGGCAAGCGUUGUCCGGAUUUAUUGGGCGUAAAGAGCGUGUAGGCGGCCAGGUAGGUCUGCUGUGAAAACUCGAGGCUUAACCUCGAGAUGUCGGCGGAAACCAUCUGGCUAGAGUCCGGAAGAGGAGAAUGGAAUUCCCGGUGUAGCGGUGAAAUGCGCAGAUAUCGGGAAGAACACCCGUGGCGAAGGCGGUUCUCUGGGACGGUACUGACGCUGAGACGCGAAAGCAUGGGGAGCGAACAGG